ACCCCGCACAAGCGGUGGAUUAUGUGUUUAAUUCGACGCAACGCGAAGAACCUUACCAGGCCUUGACAUACUCGGCAAAGCUCUAGAGAUAGAGUGGGAGGUUUAUCCGGGAUACAGGUGGUGCAUGGUUGUCGUCAGCUCGUGUCGUGAGAUGUUGGGUUAAGUCCCGCAACGAGCGCAACCCUUGUCUUUAGUUACCAUCAUUCAGUUGGGGACUCUAGAGAGACUGCCGGUGAUAAACCGGAGGAAGGUGGGGAUGACGUCAAAUCAUCAUGCCCCUUAUGGCCUGGGCUACAAACGUAAUACAAUGGCGUAUACAAAGGGAUGCGAAAGGGCGACCUGGAGCAAAACUCACAAAGUACGUCUCAGUUCAGAUUGGAGUCUGCAACUCGACUCCAUGAAGGCGGAAUCGCUAGUAAUCGCGGAUCAGCAUGCCGCGGUGAAUACGUUCUCGGGGUUU
rnacentral:rRNA from 1 species